CAUUCCACAUAUUCUAAUUUAGUACCUGUUAUGUGCCUGGCAGCAUGCCUAGCACUGUGGAUGCUUUGAUGAAUGAAUUAAAAUAGCCAGAUCCCUGUUUGUGUGGAGCUGGCAUGGUAGUAGAAAACAUAAUCAGCUAAUCACACAAGUGUACAAUUUCCAACCUUGAUAGGCGCUCUGAAGAAAAGGUACCGAGUGCUGGAGGGCAUACAACAAGGGGACCUGCACUUAUAUGACUCUGGCAGGCUUCCCUGGGAAAGGAUGCUCCAAACCAAGUUGUGAAGAAAGGGACAGAGUUAACUGGAUACAGCAAAUUGAGGGAAAGCAUUCGGGGCAGAGGGGACAGCCCGUGCAAAGGACUAGACUCGGGAGGAAGGCGAGUGAGACCAGAGAGACAGGCAGUUCUGGCUGUGCAGCGCCUCGGAGACCAGGAUGCUGCCCAGCACCUACAUCCUGAGAGCAAGGGAAGCAGGGAUGUGACCUGCCCUGGUACGUUGCUGUGAUGUGAGACUCUGGCUGUUCUGUGGAGCAAUCACUAGAGGAAUAUGAGUAGACUUAGGAAGGCCAGUUAGGAAGCUUUUGUUGUCAUGGUGGACAGAUAUGGACACCAUCCUCAUAUCUGGCUAGUCUUGGUGCUUGAUGGAGUGAAGAUGUGUUCAGGAUGCCCCCUGAGCUUCUGGCUUGCCUUACUGCUGAGAUGGCAGUGCCAUUUUCAGGAGCUGGGGAGCCCUGGAAAGGGGCCGGGUCUAUAAGACAGACCCCAAGUCUAAUGGCAGACAGCUGAGACACCCAGGUGGAGAUGGGGAGGAAGUGGCUGAAUGCACAGCUCCAGAGCACAGCCAGAGACAUCACAGAGACUGGUUCAGGGAUGAUCCUGAGUGGAAAUGUGCAUUGGGAUGUUGACAGGUUUCUGGGGCAUUUUGAGGCCAGGAGGAUGGCUGAGGAAGAAGAGUCCAGAAAUUGAGCCCAGAGACCAUCAACAUUUGGGACUGGAAAAGAGGAGAAGGAUCCUCUGAGAGUGCUGAAAAGAAGUGGAAGAGCUGGGAGGUCUCUUGGCAGAAAGAUGGGGUCUCUCAGCAGCGGGGUGGGGGGUGCAGAGAGGUCAGGACAACAAGGGCGACCGGUGAGCCCCACCCUCGUGCAACUGCGCAAUCUCCAUGGUGCUCUGGAAUUGGGCAGCAUAUCAGCUCUGCUGAUUGGCACCCCACAGGGCCAUCAGGGGACCCCUGAGGGUCUUUGCCAGAGCAGUUUGGGUAGGGGUUGAUUAAGAGGAGAAAGGAAGAAGGAGCAAGAUCUACAGCUUUUUAAUUUUAAUCUUAAAGGAGAGCAGUGCUGGCAUAUGAGCAUUAUGCAAGUAAGAGUAAUUGAGCGAUUAGAGAUGGAGACAAUUAGUGAAAUGAGCUCCCAUUGGGGCUGGGAUCAACUGUGGAGGUGGACAAAUUAGUUUGGGGCAAUAAUGUGUAUUUGACUGAAUGGGGCAAAAUUAAAUUAUUUACCUUUUAGAGAGUAACCUGAUCUCCAUGUUCUUUUGGGAGCUUUUAUCUGACCUGCGUACUGACUACAGCUCUAAUUAGCAGCAGUUUUAUCCUGUCUCUUGGCUGAGAUCGUGUCUUAUUAUUCUUGUGUGUUUCUCAGCGCCUAGCAACAGGCAGUAAGCUCUUUGGGUGCCGAAUCAGUAUUUUCUGCCUUGGAAUCAAACACCAAGUCAACAUUCAAACUUCUUUGGACCAAAAAGAAUCUAUGACAAUUCUCCAGAAGUUAACAAUACAAGAAAGAAACAUUGGGACAUUAAGUCUUGGGUGGCAGGGGUUUUGGUGAGUGGGUCAAGAAAAAGUGGAGGAGUCUACUCCCCUCAUCCUUGUAAGCUCUGUGCCAUUUAUCCAUGUUCACAUUCAUCAUCUCACAUGAACUUCACAUUUCCCCACAAGAAACAGAGUGUUGCCUCAUUUCAUAGAGGAGGAGGUGGAAGCCAGAAAAGGAGAUGUGUUAUUGACCCAGAGCACAAGUAGCAGGAGCUGACUUCAGACCUCAGGCCAUCCAGCAUGGCGGGCCCCCUUCCUGGGACCAGGUUGAGCUGGAGAGAAAGAAGAAGAGGAGUCUCUGAGGUCCGGUGGAGAUGCUCCGCAGGCCCUCGCAGAAGGUGGGAGACGUGGCGGUGUACACACUGGAGGUGCUGCUCCUGAGCUCGGGGCACCCUACGGGACUCUCCUCCUGUCACCUGCGGCAGCUUGCUCCAGCACGCCUUUCUGCUGGCCGCUGGCAACUGGAACUGACUGUGCUACAUUUUAUUUAGUUGUUGUUUAUUGACUGUUAAAAUGCUUUCAGUGUUGUUCCAUGAAGACAAACCUGUAAGCGCAUCCUUGUAUAUGCCCCUCUUGCUCAUGUACAAAUGUUUCUCCGGGACAGACACUUAGAGAUGGAAUCGUUGGGUCAUGGGGUAAACGUAUCUUAAAUUCUAAUAGAAACUGCUAAAAUGUUCUUCCAAGUGCCUUUCUUAUUUAAUGUCCUGCCAGCAGUGUGUGUACCCAUUUCCCCAGACCAUCUCCAAGUUUUACAUUUUAAAUAAUAUGAUGGGUCAAAAAUA